UACGUAGGGGGGCUAGCGUUGUCCGGAAUCAUUGGGCGUAAAGAGCGCGUAGGCGGCCAGAUAAGUCCGGUGUGAAAGUCAAAGGCUCAACCUUUGAAUGCCGCUGGAAACUGUCUGGCUAGAGUCCGGGAGGGGCGAGUGGAAUUCCGGGUGGAGCGGUGAAAUGCGUAGAGAUCCGGAGGAACACCGAAGGCGAAGGCAGUCUCCUGGCAAGGUCCUGACGCUCAGGUGCGAAAGCUAGGGGAGCGAACGGG
rnacentral:rRNA from 1 species